rnacentral:lncRNA from 1 species
AAAAUACUACAGGAAUAGCUGAGCAAAUCACCGCAAACCGCGCUUCAAUAUCUAGAUCUAGUACCUCGUAACAGCCGGAGCAUGGACCAAGAGAAUAAAUAAGGACCCCCAACUCCAGUUAGCGCUGACAUCAGCGCUGCCUGGCAGAGGGUGUAGUGAACUAAACCGACGAUUGGGUCCUCCUGUUUAUAUUUCCAUGCACCACAGCCUAUUAUUUAGGCUUAUCACUCAGUGCUCAUAGAAGUUUCUAGAUCCUCGUAUCCUCGUGGUCGUCUUGAAGUUUUGAAAAGUUUAGUGUGAAAAGUUUCCCAUUUUUAUUUCAAUCUUCGUCAGUCCUUGGGUACAUAAACUGGUAAUAAUGUGAAGUGUUUUUCUAACCGUUUUACUCAGCAGCAACUGCUGUUGAGGAAGUGUGUAUGUAGUGUGCAGCAGGAAUCAGGAUUGUACCUUUAUAGCCGAAGGCGCUUCUCUGUUUUCUGUUAAGUGAAAUCUUUUUAUUGAGAAAUAGUUUUGUACUGAUAAAAAUCAACUGAGUGUCACAAAAUCAAAGAUACUUGACUUCAAGCACUACCUUUAAUUUGAUUAUUAGCAAGUCUCUUUGAUUCUGCGUCAGAAGUUGACUGAAUCAUCUUUGCUUGUGUUUUGAUACGAUACUUCAAAUCAAAGUCUUUCGCAUUAACCUCUGCAGAAGGUAUGUAUCUAUGCUAUUUCAUUAGUUUGCGAAAGUAAAAUGUAUUAAAGUAUCCGAACAAAUUAAUAAAUCAUAGAUAAACAAAGAACAUUGCAUGGAAUAACAUACUGUAGAGGUACGAUCGUGGACCAUUGUGGCGUUAGUUCACCGCACCCUCUGCCAGGUUCGCUGCAAGCGCGCGGUAACGGUUUUUAACACAGGUUUCAAUAGGGAGUUGGGAGUCCUUAUUUAUUCUCUUGGUCCAUGGCCGGAGUUCGACAUUAAAACACCUGCAAAAGUGGGUGAAAAUCGGGGACUGGGGACUUUGCCCCCUUGUAACUCGAAAACGAUCUUUCAAACUUGGAAGGAAACAACAUCCGCUACCCGCUACCCAGAGUUUAAAGUCUCCAAAAGUGGUAUUGCAAUUAAUGCAGGAUUAGCUCGUGCCUGAAAGAUUAAUUUAGAAUGCUUACUUAGAAUUACUUACAUGCAUUUCCUAUGAUUUUAUAAUGCGCUGAAUUCGAAUUUGGACUCGGAUUUUCAUAAGAAAGUCAUUUGUCAAAGUUAACUUUAUUUUUCCAUGAACUAGCUGAAAAUCACAAGCUCUCAACUGAUGUCUAAUUGCUCUAAGAUAUACAACAAACUCCCUAGAUAUAUUAAAGAAAUUGAAGAGAGUACCACAUUUAAAAGAAGUGUUGAUACAUUUUGUAAGGAGAAUGUAUUCUAUAGUAUUGAGGAAUAUUUAGAGUAAAUUAUGUAUAUUAGAUUUAUAACAAUUACUAUUUUGACUUUGUAAUCUUUUGUUUUAAAUCAAAAGAAACAAUAAAUUAUUAUUAUUAUUAUUAUUAUUAUUAUUAUUUUGUCUCAGCAUAUAAUUUAAUUAAAGUGACAAAAAUGGGUAUACUAGGU